CUGAGAGUGCAUCGAUAGAGAAAGUGUUUCAAAAUUUUGAUAUUCAAAAUUUUUUCUUAUUCUAAUUCGCGAUUAUUCCGAAACAAUCUUAUUUCACCAGGAACAAUAUAUAUAACAAUGAAAGGGAUAUACGCCGGAUACUGCUUACCUAUUUACUUUGAUUUGUUAUUCUCAAGUUGUAUCCCAUCGGGAUGCGACAGUGCAUAACCGAUAAUUUAAACUUUGAUGCUCCCAAUGGACAGACAGUGUAAUUAUGAUUCGAACAGAGUUUCUAAGUCGGCCAGUUCAACUUGAAAAGUACCGCGAUAACGUGCUCUGACUUUUCAUCGAAGAAACUACCCAAAAGCCUUGUACCUCGAAUAAAAAUGGCAGUCAUAUCUUACACGGCCACAAUUGGUUCAUCGACGUCGCCAGGUUUUCCUGUAUGUUUUACCGGCAUCUUAUCACCAUUAAGAAUAUUUUUUUUCGAAUCCCGUAGGCACAUCAAAGUAGGUUGCUCGUGAACACCGCUGGAGCUGUCUCCCUAUUUCUGGCCUCUGUAGAACGAAUUUGACUCACUGAAAACAUUAUGUUAAAACAAAGAAAAAAAAAAACUUAAUAAUUGCUUGACCCUAAAACAACAAACCAUGUGUAUGUCUUUGUAUAAAAUAUAUAUAAAUACUUGUACAUAUAAAUUUAUAUAUAUUUUGUAUACUCUUCCAAAAAAAAAAAAAAAAAGAAAUGAAAAUAAAAAUAAAUAACGAUCACGUUCGCCUCAUCAAAUAUGAUUGUGGGUCACAAAAGUUUUAUGGUAUCCCAAACUU